rnacentral:rRNA from 1 species
ACAACUUUGAGCGGUGGAUCACUCGGCUCGUGUGUCGAUGAAGAGCGCAGCCAACUGUGUGAAUUAAUGUGAACUGCAUACUGCUCUGAGCAUCGACAUCUUG